GUCUACGGCCAUGCCACCCUGAAUAAGCCUGAUUCCAUCUGAUCUCGGAAGCUAAGCAGGGUCGGGCCUGGUUAGUACUUGGAUGGGAGACCAGGUGCUGUAGGCA
rnacentral:rRNA from 1 species